rnacentral:lncRNA from 1 species
UUUUUUUCCAAGCAUUUAAAUAUAUUAAAAAAUAUCCUUAGUGUACCAGCCCUUCAGGAACAGAUGGAGGGCUGGAUUUAUCCCAUUGGCCAACCCCAGUCCUAAGACGCAAUCAUGAUUCUAAGACAUUACUUUCCUGAAAGCAUAAAAGCAGGUAUUUCAAAAGCGUUUGCCUGCAGUUUUUGCAUUUUUUGCAUGAUACAAUAGGAAGUGAUAAGACCUUGACACUUUUGAAAAUUAGAACAUUUAUUUUUUAGGGUGUCUGUAUCAUUGGUCAUGGUGAGAGAGUUAACCCGUUCAAUUUCACAUACAUCUUGGCAUGGGAUUCACUAAUUAUAAUUUAGAGCCUGGGAUCCUUGCAAAAUAGAUUUAGGUUCAUCUACACAAAGUACCCAGGAACUGGAUGCUGCUUUGAGAUAUUUUUUUUUCUGAAAUAUCUACGGAAUUCUUCUGCAACUUCCCUAAUACAGUGUUUUUCUGUUUUCUAGUUUUAUGAUAAAUUCUAACUUUGCGAUGUCCCAGUACUUGGCUUGAUUAUAUGUUCUGGCUCACAAAAUAUUUUCAUUCUCAGUAUCUGUUUAGAGAUUCUUCCCACUGCAAUGUUUCCCUAAAUGAUAUUCAUAAACAAUGCACUCUGGUGCCUCUAUCUAGCUGCUUCUAGGUUUUUGUUUUGUUUACCUCUGAAAAAGCUUUGACCAGCUAACUAGUUGCUCUUUCGGAGAUUCAAUGUCAUAUAGUAGGAUACUUCAAUAGCAAUACUCAAUUUUCUACUUACAUCCUUUCAAAACACUCAUAAAUCUAUAGUUGCUUUUUAAGCUCUAGCAGUAAGGUCUAUCAUUGUCCAUGACAAUGGGAUAAAAUUUAAGAUACUCAUUUCCAUGCACAUAACCAACAUUAAUUUUCUAACAUUUUUAUUGAAAUUUUUUUCACAUUACAAAGAGGUAAAGUAUAUAUAAAGAUAAAGUGUAUGCAUGUGUAUAAACAGCUCUCACUUUCUCUCUAGGUUCAAAUCCCAGUUCUGCAGCCCUAUUUCUUCCUAUCGCUGUUAUCUAAGGGAAAGUCAUGCGACCUCCCUAAGCUUUAGUUUCUUCAUCUGUAAAACAGAAAUGAUAAUGGUGUAUACUUCAUAGGACUGUUGUGAGAUUUAAAUGAUUCAUGCAUGAAAUUUCUUAGAAGCAUGCCUCACAUUAUAGCAUUCAUUUCACUAAGUGCUAUUUUUCUUUCCUUUUGACUAUGCCCACGGCAUGCAAAAAUUCCAGGGCCAGGGAUCAAACCCACCUGUGCCACAGAAGUGGGAAUGCUGGAUCCUUAAUCCGGGAGCCACCAGAAAACACCAGUGUUGACUAUUAUCAUUACACACCAGCCAGUUGUAUUUGUAUAUGACUGAUUUCUAGAAUGAUGGAAUCUCACAUCAUAAUAACCUGAGGAUUUACUUGUUACCUCAAGUGGGAAGUUCAAGGAUGCACCUGAUUCUUUGGGAGGCUCCAUCAGUGGGGCCAGGGGUUCUCUGAGUUUUCUGUCAGGCUCCCUCCAGGUGGUAAAAUGGCAGCUGGCAGCCUCAUAUCAACAUCCCCCGAUCAAUUCCUGUGGACAACAACCAUCUUUUCCACCUACUGUGGCAAAAAGUAACCAAGGAAGACACUGAUUGACCCAGUGAGGGGCACAUGCCAAUCCCUGUGGCUUGAGGGUGGAGAGGUGACAGGUCAGCUUUAUUGUAUUCACAACCAGGAAGCAGAGAAGGGAACAACAAAUGAGCACUAUAGUUCCUACGCCCUUUCUAUAUGCUGCAGCUGAGUCCAUCUGGCUUCCUGUUUCUAUUGCAAAGGCCCACUGAGUUUUCAGCUCACCAUCCUCUCUGACAGUCCAAGUCAGAGCCUGACAUAAUUGGCCCCCAUUCUAUAAUGAAUGCACCAUAAUUAGCCUAGGUUAGUAAAAUGCAACAGGUAAAAUACACUCAGUGCAGCAAUUUUUAUAAAUCUUUAUCCCUAUGGCUAAUUCAGAAGACCAGACUAGUCCAAUAACUAAAAGCCCCACGCAUAUGUGGUAAAACCAUCCUCUGAUAGAUGUAACAUUACACAGUGGUGCCCUGCAGUCCACAGUAAAAGAGAAAGAGAAAUAGGUGAGGCCAGAACAUACACUUUGUUUCAGCUCUACUAAUAGUUCAAGAAAAUAAAGUCUCUUAGUCUCACAGAUACUAAAGAUCCCGUAUUUCUAAAACAGAGGUUGAAGCAUCCAGGUAACCGACUACAUGGAAUUUUUGUGAAGAGUAAAAUGAACUGUCAUAUAUAGAAGAGAUUAGUAAAUAUAAUAAAAAUAAUUAGCAAUAUUAUCUCUAAUAAUUAAAUUGUUCUUUGUUUCCUAAUCCUUCUCUUAAACACAGAAAUGAUUUCUUCUCUUUGGCUUAGAUUUCUCUUCUGUUCUCAGAAUAGUUGUCACUUGACACCCUAUUGUCACCUCUUAUACAAAGAACUCCACCUUCUCUUGUCUUUUCUGACACAACCAUGCAUUUGCUUUCUCUGCUAUUUGUCACACUCAUCUCCCUUUUUUUUCUCUUAGAUUUUUUUUUUUGUUUCCAUUUUAAUUGGUCAUUAUCCCCUCACUGGUGAUAAAAGCCCACCCUUCUUUUUUAUUCACCAUGGAACCACUGUAGUGUGCUGGUUGGACCAUUCAAAUCUUGACUUCACCUUGGACCUUUCACUUGAUUCUGUCUAUUCACCAUCGUUGCACAGGAGAGUUCUGUCUGUGUUUUGUUUCUGAGUCUGGCACCACUCUGAAGGUUUAACUUUGUAGGGAGUCUCUCUCCAGAUAAUUUAAAAAGUUGAAUUCUCCCUAGGAAGUAGCUCAAGAAUUUGAAUAGCCUCUCAAAUUCCACUCACUGGAUUAAUGCUUAAAAAAAUAAUUUUUGUGGCUCAGUGGAAUUGAAUCUGACUAGUAUCCAUGAGGAUUCAGGUUCAAUCCCUAGCCUUGCUCAGUGGGUCCGGGAUCCGGUGUUGCUAUGAGCUAUAGCGUAGGUCGCAGACGCAGCCUGGAUUCUGUGUUGCUGUGGUAUAGGCUGGCAGCUAUAGCACUGAUUCAACCCUCUAGGGGGAACUUUCAUAUGUCGUGUGUGUGGCCCCCAAAAAUAACAACAACGACAACAAAAACAAUAAAGUAAAAUGUGCUUUAAUAAAAAUAAUAAACAAGGCAUUAGCUGAGGAGCUGAUGGCACCACCUGCCUUCAGUACAAGAAUUCAACACCAACGUGUGGGUGUUUGGGAAGAGUUGAUCAGACCGACACUGAAGCCGGAAAUAAGCAGCAGCAGCAGUAGUACCACAAAGCCUGGGAAACACACCCACAAAAUGACAGUACUGAAUUCACAUUCUGGCUGCAUCACUCACCAGCAGUGUGACCUCUGGCAAGUCAUUUAAAUGUCCUGAGGGUCAGAUUACUCCUUCAUAAAAAGGACACAUUAACACCUUUCCUGUAAGAAUUUGUGAGGACAGAAAGUACCUGACUAGCACAAUCGAUCAUCUUCCUCAUUAUUGUAUUAUAAAGAAACUCUCAAAAGUGUUCUAAAAUAUCCAGAGGGGCUGAUUCCUCCAACAGAGAGGUUCCUGACCAUUAUUGCAGGUAUAGGUUCUGGAUCUCAGAUGGCACCUACGGUAUAAGCAUCUUCAUUGUACUCAAUCCUGAGAUUCCAUCUGCAGUCAGAUUAUGGCUGGGAAAACAUUUUCCCUCUGGCAGCAGCUCUCUCAGGGUGAUAUGAACACACAUGUAUUCUAUAAGUGAAGGGUAUUCGAAAAGAUAAUGCCACAGGAGGAAAAAAAAAGGGUCCCUUUGUGAAGCACCUAUGUUUCCUUUGAAAUAACGGAUUGGCACAUGCCAAUCCUUUAUUGAGUUUUUACCAUCUGUUGAAAUCAUCUCUUCCGGGAGAAACAAAGAAUGAGUUCAGGCUACCUGCCUUGGUUCAUUUGCAAUGAAAAUUUUCACUUCUAAUGAAUGGAAUAUUUUGUGAAAUAAAACAGGCUUAAUUCUGUUAUACAAUCUUGGGUCUCUAUGCUGUAUUCUCCUCCACCCUAUUCUCCUAGCUAUGCUGAAAGAAUGCGAGAGCGCUGAUGGCGGUAUCAAUUAUGCAGCUCUUGAAAAGGGGCUCUGUGAGAGAGAACAUUAAGGUGAACUGCAUGGUUAGUACAUAAUUUCUGCUCUAAGUGGUUUCUGCUCUAAUCUGUCCAUGUCUCUUUCUGUUAUAAGAGUGCAUCUUCAAAAUCUGCCCGCAAAUCAAUGUGGACGUCAGAGGAGAAACAUCAAAACAAUUAUACAAAUUGUGCUUCAUGAGUCUGAUCAGCAGCAAAAAUCAGCUUGAUCAGUGUGUACUCACACCAUUCCAGCAGAAAAAAAAAAUCAAUCAGAAAUAUUGAUCACCGUUUUAUUCUGCUGUCCAAGACAAAUUAAUCAGUAUCACACACGACAAUAACUAUAUAAAAUGACAGUAAUGUUUACCUAAAUUUAUAUUCAAUUUAGAUCAUUAAACAACUAGGUCAUUAGAUCAUUUUAAAAGUAGAGAAAAAGAAUAUGAGAUGUGAAAAAUUCCAAGGUAGAUAACAUUCUUCUAUAACCGUUAUGCACAACAAGCAAAUUCAAUAUCCCCAAAAUACUGAAUCAAUCAUAUAUUAUAUCACAUUUAUGACAAAGAGUGUGUGUGUGUGGUGGGGGGUGUGUGUACACUUUGGAAGGAGAAAGAUUAUGAUAAGACAAGUUUCCAUGUUUACUGCACAAAUAAAAUGCAGCUUAGCUACAAUGACAAAGCUCCUUGGUGGCAGAAGUAAAUCUAGAAUUCACAUAUAUUAUGAACCCUAACGUAGUAUUCUUAUGCCACAUUAAAAAUGCCAAAAAAUAAAUUCCCUUUGACCAAGAACUGCUCCAUCCAUGAGCUGAUCCCUCCUGCCUGGAGAAACCACCUGCCUCUUGUCUUGCGUGAGGAGCCCCCUGGCUCUAUCCCAGCACCACUGCAGAGCUUCUCAGCCUGCACCUCCAAACCUUUGCUGUGUGUAGGCAAGGACAGAGAGAGCGCAGAGCAGAUGGACCUCACAGUAAGUGCCCAAUAUAUGAUAGCUCUUAUCAUUACAAUAACCCACACAGUAAACAUUACUAUAGAUUUUAGGAGUUCCUGUUGUGGAGCAGUGGAAAUGAAUCCAACUAGUAUCCAUGAGGAUGCAGGUUUGAUCCCUGGCCUCAAUCAGUGGGUUAAGGAUCUGGCAUUGCCAUGAGCUGUGGGGGAGGUCGCAGAUGUGGUUCAGAUUCUGCAUUGCUGUGGCUGUGGGACAGGCCAGCAGCUGUAGCUUUGAUUUGACCCCUAGCCUGGGAACCUCCAUAUGCCAUGGGUGUGGCCCUAAAAAGACCAAAAAAAAAAAAAAAAGAUAUUACUAUAUAUUUUAAAGAUGAGGAAACAGUCUUGGUGAGGUUUAAGUAACUUGCCAUAGGACACAAAAUGAACUGAAUCCAGAGUUAUUAAGACAACUGAUUAAGCUGAGUCAUGAUUGUAUGUCUGUCACUUUAAAUUUUAUAAAGUAUAUUGAGGAAAAAAGAAGCCAAGUGUAACAAAAGUGCACCUACUUUUAUACUUAGCAUCAUUUACUAUCCUUUAUAUAUUAUAUUAAUACCAAAUUAGUUAUAGUACAGUUAUAGUGUUUUAUAUCCAUGAUUUAUAUUGUCUUUUAUUUAUAACAUAUAGUUUAGUAUUUAUAUGCUAUUUAUGUUAUAUUUAUGAUAUAUUCAGUAUGCAAUAAUGGUGCUUCAAGAUCAAAUAGAAGCCUUAUGCUCUUUUAAAUACAAUCAUUCCUCCUCCUUACCUUCAUGAGUUAGGGAGGAAAGGCUGACAAGAGCUCAUUCCUUUAUCUUUUUAUUCAAUAAAUAUGUAUUAAACAGGGAGUUUCCAUUGUGACUCAGCAGAAACAAAUCCAACUAGUUUCUAUGAGGAUUCGGGUUUGAUCCCUGGCCUCGCUCAAUGGAUUAAUGAUCCAGCAUUGCCGUGAGCUGUGGUGCAGGUCACAGAUGUAGCUCAGAUCUGGUGUUGCUGUGGCUGUGGUAUAGGCUGGCAGUUGCAGCUCUGAUUUGACCCCUAGCCUGGGAACUUCCAUAUGCUGAGGAUGCAGCCCUAAAAAUCAAUCAAUCAAUCAAUCAAUCAAACAAAUAAACAAUAGGCAUUAAACAUCACAAGGCAAGAUAGAAAGGCAAAGGAUAUUCAAAAUUGACAAAAAAUAAAAUAAAAAAUAUAUAUUAAAGGUCUCUGGGAGAAGAUGAUUUUCUGGUGGGAAAGAAAUGUGUAAACAAUUCAUUACAACCAGUGAG